rnacentral:rRNA from 1 species
GACGAACGCUGGCGGCGUGCUUAACACAUGCAAGUCGAACGGAAAGGCCCUGCUUUUGUGCGGUGCUCGAGUGGCGAACGGGUGAGUAACACGUGAGUAACCUGCCCUUGACUUUGGGAUAACUUCAGGAAACUGGGGCUAAUACCGGAUAUGAGCUCCUGCUGCAUGGUGGGGGUUGGAAAGUUUCGGCGGUUGGGGCUGUACUGGCGGCUGAUUAGCUUGUUGGUGGGGUAAUGGCUGACCAAGGCGUCGACGGGUAGCCGGCCUGAGAGGGUGACCGGCCACACUGGGACGGAGACACGGCCAAGAGUCCUACGGGAGGCAGCAGUGGGGAAUUUUGGACAAUGGGCGCAAGCCUGAUCCAGCCAUGCCGCGUGCAGGAUGAAGGCCUUCGGGUUGUAAACUGCUUUUGUACGGAACGAAAAGCCUUCUUUUAAUACAGGAGGGUCAUGACGGUACCGUAAGAAUAAGCACCGGCUAACUACGUG